UUCUUUGGUUGGCUUCAGCCACGUAUACAGUGAAACUGCGAAUGGCUCAUUAAAUCAGUUAUCGUUUAUUUGAUAGUACUUUACUACUUGGAUAACCGUGGUAAUUCUAGAGCUAAUACAUGCUAAAAAUCCCGACCUCCGGAAGGGAUGUAUUUAUUAGAUAAAAAACCAAUGCCUUCGGGCUCCUUGGUGAUUCAUGAUAACUUAACGAAUCGCAUGGCCUUGCGCCGGCGAUGGUUCAUUCAAAUUUCUGCCCUAUCAACUUUCGAUGGUAGGAUAGUGGCCUACCAUGGUUUCAACGGGUAACGGGGAAUUAGGGUUCGAUUCCGGAGAGGGAGCCUGAGAAACGGCUACCACAUCCAAGGAAGGCAGCAGGCGCGCAAAUUACCCAAUCCCAAUUCGGGGAGGUAGUGACAAUAAAUACUGAUACAGGGCUCUUUUGGGUCUUGUAAUUGGAAUGAGUACAAUUUAAAUCCCUUAACGAGGAACAAUUGGAGG
rnacentral:rRNA from 1 species